rnacentral:rRNA from 1 species
UCCACAUACGCAUCCUUUGCUGAGGAUACGGUUAACGGAGCGCAAGCGACGUUCAACCGCAAAAGAAGCAGAGGGGGCUUAGUGGUGGGGUGACUGCGUACCUUUUGUAUAAUGGGUCAGCGACUUAUAUUCUGUAGCAAGGUUAACCGAAUAGGGGAGCCGGAGGGAAACCGAGUCUUAAUUGGGCGUUAAGUUGCAGGGUAUAGACCCGAAACCCGGUGAUCUAGCCAUGGGCAGGUUGAAGGUUGGGUAACACUAACUGGAGGACCGAACCGACUAAUGUUGAAAAAUUAGCGGAUGACCUGUGGCUGGGGGUGAAAGGCCAAUCAAACCGGGAGAUAGCUGGUUCUCCCCGAAAGCUAUUUAGGUAGCGCCUCGUGAAUUCAUCUCCGGGGGUAGAGCACUGUUUCGGCUAGGGGGCCAUCCCGGCUUACCAACCCGAUGCAAACUGCGAAUACCGGAGAAUGUUAUCACGGGAGACACACGGCGGGUGCUAACGUCCGUCGUGAAGAGGGAAACAACCCAGACCGCCAGCUAAGGUCCCAAAGUCAUGGUUAAGUGGGAAACGAUGUGGGAAGGCCCAGACAGCCAGGAUGUUGGCUUAGAAGCAGCCAUCAUUUAAAGAAAGCGUAAUAGCUCACUGGUCGAGUCGGCCUGCGCGGAAGAUGUAACGGGGCUAAACCAUGCACCGAAGCUGCGGCAGCGACACUCAGGUGUUGUUGGGUAGGGGAGCGUUCUGUAAGCCUGCGAAGGUGGCCUGUGAGGGUUGCUGGAGGUAUCAGAAGUGCGAAUGCUGACAUAAGUAACGAUAAAGCGGGUGAAAAGCCCGCUCGCCGGAAGACCAAGGGUUCCUGUCCAACGUUAAUCGGGGCAGGGUGAGUCGACCCCUAAGGCGAGGCCGAAAGGCGUAGUCGAUGGGAAACGGGUUAAUAUUCCCGUACUUGGUGUUACUGCGAAGGGGGGACGGAGAAGGCUAUGUUGGCCGGGCGACGGUUGUCCCGGUUUAAGCGUGUAGGCUGGUUUUCCAGGCAAAUCCGGAAAAUCAAGGCUGAGGCGUGACGACGAGGCACUACGGUGCUGAAGCAACAAAUGCCCUGCUUCCAGGAAAAGCCUCUAAGCAUCAGGUAACACGAAAUCGUACCCCAAACCGACACAGGUGGUCAGGUAGAGAAUACCAAGGCGCUUGAGAGAACUCGGGUGAAGGAACUAGGCAAAAUGGUGCCGUAACUUCGGGAGAAGGCACGCUGACAUGUAGGUGAAGUGAUUUACUCAUGGAGCUGAAGUCAGUCGAAGAUACCAGCUGGCUGCAACUGUUUAUUAAAAACACAGCACUGUGCAAACACGAAAGUGGACGUAUACGGUGUGACGCCUGCCCGGUGCCGGAAGGUUAAUUGAUGGGGUCAGCGCAAGCGAAGCUCCUGAUCGAAGCCCCGGUAAACGGCGGCCGUAACUAUAACGGUCCUAAGGUAGCGAAAUUCCUUGUCGGGUAAGUUCCGACCUGCACGAAUGGCGUAAUGAUGGCCAGGCUGUCUCCACCCGAGACUCAGUGAAAUUGAACUCGCUGUGAAGAUGCAGUGUACCCGCGGCAAGACGGAAAGACCCCGUGAACCUUUACUAUAGCUUGACACUGAACAUUGAGCCUUGAUGUGUAGGAUAGGUGGGAGGCUUUGAAGUGUGGACGCCAGUCUGCAUGGAGCCGACCUUGAAAUACCACCCUUUAAUGUUUGAUGUUCUAACGUGGACCCGUGAUCCGGGUUGCGGACAGUGUCUGGUGGGUAGUUUGACUGGGGCGGUCUCCUCCUAAAGAGUAACGGAGGAGCACGAAGGUUGGCUAAUCCUGGUCGGACAUCAGGAGGUUAGUGCAAUGGCAUAAGCCAGCUUGACUGCGAGCGUGACGGCGCGAGCAGGUGCGAAAGCAGGUCAUAGUGAUCCGGUGGUUCUGAAUGGAAGGGCCAUCGCUCAACGGAUAAAAGGUACUCCGGGGAUAACAGGCUGAUACCGCCCAAGAGUUCAUAUCGACGGCGGUGUUUGGCACCUCGAUGUCGGCUCAUCACAUCCUGGGGCUGAAGUAGGUCCCAAGGGUAUGGCUGUUCGCCAUUUAAAGUGGUACGCGAGCUGGGUUUAGAACGUCGUGAGACAGUUCGGUCCCUAUCUGCCGUGGGCGCUGGAGAACUGAGGGGGGCUGCUCCUAGUACGAGAGGACCGGAGUGGACGCAUCACUGGUGUUCGGGUUGUCAUGCCAAUGGCACUGCCCGGUAGCUAAAUGCGGAAGAGAUAAGUGCUGAAAGCAUCUAAGCACGAAACUUGCCCCGA